UACGGAGGGAGCAAGCGUUACUCGGAUUUAUUGGGCGUAAAGGGCGCGUAGGCGGUCUGCCAAGUCUGGUGUGAAAGCCCACAUGUUAACUGUGGAAGUGCAUUAGAAACUGUUGGAUUUGAGUUCAGGAGAGGAAAGCAGAAUUCCCGGUGUAGCGGUGAAAUGCGUAGAGAUCGGGAGGAAUACCAGUGGCGAAGGCGGCUUUCUGGACUGACACUGACGCUGAGGCGCGAAAGCCAGGGGAGCAAACGGG
rnacentral:rRNA from 1 species